UACGUAGGGCGCAAGCGUUAUCCGGAAUUAUUGGGCGUAAAGAGCUCGUAGGCGGUUUGUCGCGUCUGCCGUGAAAGUCCGGGGCUCAACUCCGGAUCUGCGGUGGGUACGGGCAGACUAGAGUGAUGUAGGGGAGACUGGAAUUCCUGGUGUAGCGGUGAAAUGCGCAGAUAUCAGGAGGAACACCUAUAGCGAAGGCAGCUUGCUGGGACGUUACUGACGCUAAGGCGCGAAAGCGUGGGGAGCGAACAGG
rnacentral:rRNA from 1 species